rnacentral:rRNA from 1 species
UCGUCAGCUCGUGUCGUGAGAUGUUGGGUUAAGUCCCGCAACGAGCGCAACCCCUAUUGUUAGUUGCUACCAUUAAGUUGAGCACUCUAGCGAGACUGCCUGGGUUAACCAGGAGGAAGGUGGGGAUGACGUCAAAUCAUCAUGCCCCUUAUGUGUAGGGCUACACACGUGCUACAAUGGUAAGUACAGAGAGACGCAAAACCGUGAGGUCGAGCAAAUCCCUUAAAACUUGUCCCAGUUCGGAUUGUAGGCUGAAACUCGCCUACAUGAAGCCGGAGUUGCUAGUAAUCGCGAAUCAGAAUGUCGCGGUGAAUACGUUCCCGGGUCUUGUACACACCGCCCGUCACACCAUGAGAGUUGGCAAUACCCAACGUCCGUGAGCUAACCGCAAGGAGGCAGCGGCCUAAGGUAGGGUCAGCGAUUGGGGUGAAGUCGUAACAAGGUAGCCGUA